rnacentral:tRNA from 1 species
GCGGGGGUGCCCGAGCUAGGACAAAGGGGGCGGACUUAAGAUCCUGAGAUGAAAAAUUAGAAAUCCGCUGGCGUCGGCCUGCCCGGGUUCGAAUCCCGGCCCCCGCA